GGUGUGUCGUGGAGAGCCUCUCAUUUCCGACCUCAGAUCGGACGAGAUUACCCGCUGAAUUUAAGCAUAUCACUAAGCGGAGGAAAAGAAACU
rnacentral:rRNA from 1 species